rnacentral:rRNA from 1 species
AUUGAACGCUGGCGGAAUGCUUUACACAUGCAAGUCGAACGGUAGAGGGGGCAACCCCUUGAGAGUGGCGAACGGGUGAGUAAUGUAUCGGAACGUGCCCAGUCGUGGGGGAUAACGUAGUGAAAAUUACGCUAAUACCGCAUACGAUCUAUGGAUGAAAGCGGGGGAUCGCAAGACCUCGCGCGAUUGGAGCGGCCGAUAUCAGAUUAGGUAGUUGGUGGGGUAAAGGCUCACCAAGCCAACGAUCUGUAGCUGGUCUGAGAGGACGACCAGCCACACUGGAACUGAGACACGGUCCAGACUCCUACGGGAGGCAGCAGUGGGGAAUUUUGGACAAUGGACGCAAGUCUGAUCCAGCCAUUCCGCGUGCAGGACGAAGGCCUUCGGGUUGUAAACUGCUUUUGUACGGAACGAAAAAGCUCUUAUUAAUACUAGGAGUCCAUGACGGUACCGUAAGAAUAAGCACCGGCUAACUACGUGCCAGCAGCCGCGGUAAUACGUAGGGUGCAAGCGUUAAUCGGAAUUACUGGGCGUAAAGCGUGCGCAGGCGGUUACAUAAGACAGAUGUGAAAUCCCCGAGCUUAACUUGGGAACUGCAUUUGUGACUGUAUAGCUAGAGUACGGCAGAGGGGGAUGGAAUUCCGCGUGUAGCAGUGAAAUGCGUAGAUAUGCGGAGGAACACCGAUGGCGAAGGCAAUCCC